GAUGAACGCUGGCGGCGUGCCUAAUACAUGCAAGUCGAGCGAACAGAUGAGGAGCUUGCUCCUCUGACGUUAGCGGCGGACGGGUGAGUAACACGUGGAUAACCUACCUAUAAGACUGGGAUAACUUCGGGAAACCGGAGCUAAUACCGGAUAAUAUAUUGAACCGCAUGGUUCAAUAGUGAAAGACGGUUUUGCUGUCACUUAUAGAUGGAUCCGCGCCGCAUUAGCUAGUUGGUAAGGUAACGGCUUACCAAGGCGACGAUGCGUAGCCGACCUGAGAGGGUGAUCGGCCACACUGGAACUGAGACACGGUCCAGACUCCUACGGGAGGCAGCAGUAGGGAAUCUUCCGCAAUGGGCGAAAGCCUGACGGAGCAACGCCGCGUGAGUGAUGAAGGUCUUCGGAUCGUAAAACUCUGUUAUUAGGGAAGAACAAAUGUGUAAGUAACUAUGCACGUCUUGACGGUACCUAAUCAGAAAGCCGCGGCUAACUACGU
rnacentral:rRNA from 1 species